CGCGGCCUAUCAGCUUGUUGGUGAGGUAACGGCUCACCAAGGCGAUGACGGGUAGCUGGCGUGAGAGCGCGACCAGCCACACUGGGACUGAGACACGGCCCAGACUCCUACGGGAGGCAGCAGUGGGGAAUCUUGCACAAUGGGCGCAAGCCUGAUGCAGCAACGCCGCGUGCGGGAAGAAGGCCCUAGGGUUGUAAACCGCUUUCAGUAGGGAAGAAAAUGACGGUACCUGCAGAAGAAGGUGCGGCCAACUACGUGCCAGCAGCCGCGGUGACACGUAGGCACCAAGCGUUAUCCGGAUUUAUUGGGCGUAAAGAGCUCGUAGGCGGUUCAGUCAGUCGGGUGUGAAAACUUGAGGCUCAACCUCAAGAGGCCACCCGAUACUGCUGUGACUCGAGUGCGGUAGGGGAGCGGGGAAUUCCUGGUGUAGCGGUGAAAUGCGCAGAUAUCAGGAGGAACACCAGUGGCGAAGGCGCCGCUCUGGGCCGUAACUGACGCUGAGGAGCGAAAGCAUGGGUAGCAAACAGGAUUAGAUACCCUGGUAGUCCAUGCCGUAAACGUUGGGCACUAGGUGUGGGUCUCAACCAACGAGAUCCGCGCCGUCGCUAACGCAUUAAGUGCCCCGCCUGGGGAGUACGG
rnacentral:rRNA from 1 species